UACGAAGGGGGCUAGCGUUGCUCGGAAUCACUGGGCGUAAAGCGCACGUAGGCGGAUCCUUAAGUCGGGGGUGAAAUCCUGGAGCUCAACUCCAGAACUGCCUUCGAUACUGGCGAUCUCGAGUCCGGAAGAGGUGAGUGGAACUCCUAGUGUAGAGGUGGAAUUCGUAGAUAUUAGGAAGAACACCAGUGGCGAAGGCGGCUCACUGGUCCGGUACUGACGCUGAGGUGCGAAAGCGUGGGGAGCAAACAGG
rnacentral:rRNA from 1 species